rnacentral:rRNA from 1 species
CAGACCUCUAAUCGGAAAAGACUACCCGCUGAGUUUAAGCAUAUCACUAAGCGGAGGAGAAGCAAC